GUCGUGAGAUGUUGGGUUAAGUCCCGCAACGAGCGCAACCCCCGUCGUAUGUUGCCAGCAUUCAGUUGGGGACUCAUACGAGGCUGCCGGUGACAAACCGGAGGAAGGUGGGGAUGACGUCAAGUCCUCAUGCCCCUUAUGUCCAGGGCUACACACGUGCUACAUUGGCGCGUACAGAGGGUUGCGAUACCGCGAGGUGGAGCGAAUCCCUUAAAGCGCGUCUCGGUUCGGAUUGCAGGCUGAAACUCGCCUGCAUGAAGGCGGAGUUGCUAGUAAUCGCGGAUCAGCAUUGCCGCGGUGAAUACGUUCCCGGGCCUUGUACACACCGCCCGUCACACCACGGGAGUGAGCAACACCCGAAGCCGGUGGCCUAACCCGCAAGGGAGGGAGCCGUCGACGGUGGGGCUCGUGACUGGGGUGAAGUCGUAACAAGGUAGCCGUAGCGGAAGCUGCGGCUGGAUCACCUCCUUUCUAGGGAGCACCUAGCGGUGCCCCGGCCGGACCCUCAUCUGGGCCCGCCUCAUUCCGAGGCGGUUUCACGGGUGAGACCUUCUCCGCGCCGGGCCUAGCAUGUCGACCGAACCUGGUCUGCCCUGUCCUAACGACGGGCAGCAUGCUAUUGAGUUUUGAGAGACCGGCGCCCGCCCGGCGGAUCCGCGAUGACGCGGCCAGACUGCCGAUGGGCCGGCGUGCUGCCCCUCCACGGUCCUUGAAAACUGCACAGUAGCCACAUGCGAUCGCACGACGCAGCCCUGGGGCUGCCGGCGGCGAUCGUAAGCAACGGGUAUUACCGAACCAUUGAAAGUGGUUUGAUCACCGUCAAGAUAGUAAGGGCACGUGGUGGAUGCCUAGGCACUUAGAGUCGAUGAAGGGCGUGGACGGCUGCGAUAAGCCGCGGUGAGGCGCUGAACAGCCUUUGACCCGCGGAUGC
rnacentral:sRNA from 1 species